ACUUUUUUUUUUGAAAUUAG
rnacentral:antisense_RNA from 1 species